ACGUCACGAUCGAUUGGUUGACGGUCGCUCAUUAUUGGCUAUAAUGCAUUGUUGCAACUAGAAUAGCAUUUCAGCCAAUAACGACAAUUGCGAUUGUAAUAAUGAUUGACGCAGGUUUUACGGAAUCGAGCUACUGUUCUAAAUCUAGUGAU